GAUGAACGCUAGCGGCAGGCCUAAUACAUGCAAGUCGAACGGUGUCUUCGGACAUAGUGGCGCACGGGUGCGUAACACGUAUGCAACCUACCUUACAUUGGGGGAUAGCCUUUCGAAAGGGAGAUUAAUACCGCAUAAGACAGUAGCUGGGCAUCCAGCAGCUGUUAAAGAUUUAUCGAUGUAAGCUGGGCAUGCGUCCAAUUAGCUAGUUGGUGAAGUAACGGCUCACCAAGGCAAUGAUUGGUAGGGGAACUGAGAGGUCAAUCCCCCACACUGGCACUGAGAUACGGGCCAGAGUCCUACGGGAGGCAGCAGUAGGUAAUAUUGGGCAAUGGACGCAAGUCUGACCCAGCCAUGCCGCGGGCAGGAUGAAGGCGUUAUGCGUUGUAAACUGCUUUUAUACAGGAAGAAACGACUCUUGCGAGAGGCAUUGACGGUACUGUAUGAAUAGGCACCGGCUAACUCCGUGCCAGCAGCCGCCGUAAAAC
rnacentral:rRNA from 1 species